GAUGAACGCUGGCGGCGUGCCUAAUACAUGCAAGUCGAGCGAACAGACGAGGAGCUUGCUCCUCUGACGUUAGCGGCGGACGGGUGAGUAACACGUGGAUAACCUACCUAUAAGACUGGGAUAACUUCGGAAAACCGAAGCUAAUACCGGAUAAUAUAUUGAACCGCAUGGUUCAAUAGUGAAAGACGGUUUUGCUGUCCCUUAUAGAUGGAUCCGCGCCGCAUUAGCUAGUUGGUAAGGUAACGGCUUACCAAGGCAACGAUGCGUAGCCGACCUGAGAGGGUGAUCGGCCACACUGGAACUGAGACACGGUCCAGACUCCUACGGGAGGCAGCAGUAGGGAAUCUUCCGCAAUGGGCGAAAGCUUGACGGAGCAACGCCGCGUGAGUGAUGAAGGUCUUCGGAUCGUAAAACUCUGUUAUUAGGGAAGAACAAAUGUGUAAGUAACUAUGCACGUCUUGACGGUACCUAAUCAGAAAGCCACGGCUAACUACGUG
rnacentral:rRNA from 1 species